ensembl:lncRNA
CGGAAGCAGAUGGAGGGUAGCGCUGAAGGUAUAGACGCUCCAGUUCCAGUUCCACUUCUCUCCUUCCCCCUCUCCUUGACUUUCUCCCGUGGGUGGUACAACCUGGCAGAUUACAAAACACCCCUCCCAUGUGCCUCACCACUCUCUGUGCCAGGAUGAAGCGACCGAUCUGAUGCUCCUGAAGAGUAUGAAAGUGUAAGUGGAGUGAGAGAGAGAGAAAGAGAGAGAGAGUGAGAGAGAGAGGCAAAAAGAAAGAAAAAGCUAGUGGAAAGCAGUACGACACAAUCUGCGCCACUGUCUGCUGAGAACAUCGGGGUAAGUGCCAGAAGCAUGCACACAUACACAAACAAACACUCAUACACACAUCCAUUCAUUUCUUUUACAUAUGUGUACUUUCUCAUGCAUGACACCCCUCAGGCCUUUUGUGCUUGACAACUUUCAGUUAGUAACUAUUGUAACCUGCAUGCAAGUCAUAAACGUAUAAUGCUCCUGAACACUUUUGCUUCACGUCCUAAUAGUGUAUAAAUCUGUCAAACAUGGAAAAGAAUGAAGAACACUUUAAUCACUGUCGACGCUGUAAAGCCUGGCAGUGAAGAAGUGAGUCUGGACCUUGCACACCGCAGGCCUUUUACUGCAUGCAGUCAGUUUCAUAUAACAUUGUGCACUCUGUCCUAAAAUCCUCACACAAGGAGAUAAAGAGCCAGAAAUGGCACCAGGAGCCUGAGAUCUGAGCUACAGUUACAUUGUAAAUGUGAUCAGUGCGCAAAUGGAGUGACACACAUUUCCACACACACAGUCUCAGAUUCAGACAGAGAUGCAGGGAUCCCAUCAGUGGGAGGUAAAAUAAAUAAAUAAAUAAAUAAGUAGAAGACCCCAUAACAGUACUAUGUUAGUAAAGCAGAAGUACUUAGCAUUAAGCACAUUUCUGAUUUUUACAGAUGGAGAUUAACUAUGAUUAUCUGACAUGCACAGAGUGGAGAGUCUCUCAGGCUUUCUCAGAUUUGAGGUUAGGUGGGGUACUGUCUUGAUUCCGCCCAUCGUAAGUUGCACGGUGACAUCUAGAAUGUGAUCUCUUUGAACAGUGACACGCAAUUCUGAUUAAUGGACAGAAAAUAUUUGAGUGACAGCACUUGACUCGAGUGUUCAUUAGUACAAUUCUGAGUCACUUGGAGUAUGAAUGACUGAGACGUUAUACUAAGAGUUCUUGUAUCGAUUAGAAAUAACUCCAAUGUCAAUUAGAAGCUCUGCUUCCAAUAUGAAGGGUAAUGGAGACCAGAAUAUUCUGUUGAAGCUAGGAAUUAUGGGUACUGGGUAGAAGUCCAGGCUAGAGACAUAGACAGACCUGCAGUUUGAUGUACACACCUGUUCUGUCUGCUUCGACGUGAUUCAUCCUCAAACACAGAGACAAAUCAGGUAUUUCCCAAAUGAGAACAUGACAGUUUGAAUGAUUUUGUGCUAUCGUGCUUUUGUUCUGCAUUCACAUAUGGGUGUGUGUAUAGGCAUGUGUGAGGGUUCAUCAGCUAGAAAAAACGAUGUACGUAGGCCAGCUGUCACUACUGCAUGUAGAAAUAUGUUCUUGCUUAGCCUGGCAUUAAAAUUUACUGUACAGUACCAAAUCAUACAACACUGCAGUAGUACACCUCGCUACACCAUGGCUAUGAAACAGUACUCCAUAUUACUAUACUCUAAUCUAUUAUGCACUGUGUUACUCCAUUAUAGAACAUAUGAGCAUAUGAAUAGGGGUACAGUUUUCCACAUACUCGUUCUCGGGAAAAAUGGCUUAAUACUUAUAGAUACACUUUAGAUAAAUAUUACAGUCUGUAUAUACAAUGUCUACAUAGUUCUCACCAUUGUUUUUUUUAAAAAAAAGCAAGAAUUACUACAUUAUGGAGAUAUAUGAAGGGGUCGUUACAGAUGACUCACUAUUCAGUGAAUAGCACUUAAGGAUACUUACUCAACCCAUAAAUUGGAUUUUUUUUUAAAAGUCUUCUUGUACAAACACUGAUCAAAACGCACAGAAAGCAUUUUUCUAAUCAUCAUCAUUUCAUCUGGCAGUGGUCUCAUUUGCGCGCUGUGGCUCUGGGUGUGGUGCCGUAUGUAACCAAAUGCAGAGCGUUUAACCUCACAUUCACCCUGAAGUGCAUCAGCCGUGAAGCUUUGCUCAAUGUUUAUGGCAUGUGAAUUAUAUAAAAGCACAUUUAUUAAGGUUGGUAGGGUUUCUCAGGAAAGAAAUGUUUUAGAUUUAUAGCAUAUUUAUUGAUAUAAAAUAAAUUAAUAAAGCAAUGACAAGUAUCUAGAGGCUCUUUAUAUCCAUGAACACAUUGACAAGCAGACAGCAGAGGCAAUAGCUUUAAUGCGCUAAAAGCCUUUAUUUUAUAUAUUGCACGCCCGAUAAAUUACAUUUCAUUCAAUAAUUUGGUAUUAGUCCUUUUUUUAAAUGAACAUAGGAAAAAAGAAUGAACAUAGGCUUCAAAAUGCUUUAGCGUUAAUCAUAUACGACGCAUAUUGUAUAGAAUAUGGUAUGGAAUGUGCAGCACAGUGCUUUCCUACUCUGCACGAUCACAAAAUGGCCGUGGUGGAGGUGCUGUCCACAGCCGUGUGAUUGACAGGGAGCUCCACGGUGUGUGGGUGGAUUUGCUCUGUAUGUUGAGGUGUGCGUGAAGUAUUCAUAGAGAAUCAUACCGGGUUCUCCCCCUUUGUUCUCCAGGGCACAUCCUAAAACAAAGGCAGUUAGGAGCCAAUUAAUUAGAUUUUUUUUAUUAUCAGGUUAUUUACUUUGCCUGCGCAUUGUAUAAACUAUUUUAAACCUGAGGAAAAAUGGUAUGGUGCAUAUAUCAAAUGCACAUGCAGUGUGUGUAGGGGGUGUGUGGGUGUGUGCAUGGAUGCGUAUAAGUGUGCAUGUGUGUCUUUCCUCACAUCUAUACCGAGUUUUAUGUUCAAUUCAUUCUGGUUCAUUGUUGAUUUUUAUUUUUAUUUUUUUUAGUCUGCUAUACACAAACGUACACUUUGCUGAAAUUGACUUCAUGAUUAAAUCUUUCAUUUCAUUCUUUUAGUAGCUGCAUUCAUUCACCCUGUAUGGUGACGUAGGUGAUGGUUAAUCUAUAUGAAACCUAGAUGAACAAUAUGAACAGAUGUAUGCAAUAUUACUAUAGAAAAUACAAGGAAUUGGAAUUGCAUUUCCAAUAGAGCAUGCUCGAGAUGAACCAUGAAUCGAACAAAAUUGUAUCAGACAUCUGCUAAUAAACAAAUCUUUACUGAUCACUUACGCUGAUUCUUGUCAAUUCUUGUGAUUUAUUUUUUCUAUACAGUAUAUUUUUUCAGAGAAUAAUGCAGAUAAUCAAACAACAGAAAAUGCUAAAUCUCCCAUAGAAGGGACAAGGCUGCCUCUAACCUCUAUCUAUUUCUCCUUCACUAUCUCAUUCUUUGCAUCCAUCAUCUUGUUCCACCCUCUCACAUUUUCCUCAUUGAUUGGGUACGUAUGCUGGAAUUAGCCAUUCAUUUCCGUGUCUAAGCCCUGCCCCCCUCUCUUUUUCUCCUGCUUUUUCUUUAUUUCCACCUCUCUGGUGUAUAACAGCUAGAUUACACACUUACACUGUGUCACAAAAUGUGCCACAAGGACAAGGACAAUAGUUUAUUGUUCAAACUCACUUUCCAUCAAAACCAUCUCUCAGCAUCUCUCACAUCCAUCCUCUUAUCUAAAGCCUUUAUUAUUGUUUGGCAAAAAGUCUAACUUCAGGUAGAAUAAAAAAAAGCCUGUCGGUUAUAUCAUUUUCUUUCCCGAAAUGGUUUGGGUAUAUUGUGUAUAGUAAAUAAAUAAGAAAGCAAGAAAAAAAAGGAAAAACAUGAAAAUCCUUUCAGCGUUUUUUCUUCUUCUUCUUCUUAUUUUCCUCUGUCUGUCUCUUGAAUUGUGGCUAUAAUCCGUGCUAAAAUAGCAAAAAACCUUUAUACCAUAUAAUGGUACCAUUAAGAAUUAAUAAUGCAAAGAUUGUGUAUGUGAUGUGGAAGUGUGUGUGCGUUUAGACCCUCGUUACCUUUCACGGAUCUCACAAAACACAUAUGUUCUAUAUCUGCUACUGCUUCAUGACUGUCAGUAUGGUGCCUGGUAGGGUUUCCCUAUACUCGUUUCCUGUUUGUAGCAGCCCUCUGGCCAUUUACACAUUCACACACGCACACACACGUACAUAUACGUGCACACAAAUAGAUACACACAGUUAGACACGCACAUGCAUCAUGUGAUUGCACUGGAUUCUCAUCGGGAUUCUUUGUGUGAACACUUGCAUGCUGUCAUGUGCACAUUGUGUGUGUGUGUGUGUGUGUGUGUGUGUGUGUGUAUGAGAGAGAGAGAGAGAGAGAGAGAGAGAGAGAGUAUGUGUGUGUGUAUGUGUGUGUGUGUGUGUGUGUGUAUGAGAGAGAGAGAGAGUAUGUGUGUGUGUGUGUGUGUGUGUGUGUGCGCGCACUCUGUUGCUCCUGCAUAUCUCCACAUGUACUGGGUGAGAGCUUUGUGUGGGAGGAGUUAGUGGAGAACAAUGAUGGGCUCUCUUGUCUGCCUGCCCAUGCGUGUGUGAGAAUGUUUGUGGGAGCGUGAGUGUGUGUGCAGACUCCUCUAUGCUAAUGCUAAAGAAAGUGCCACAGGGAGAUGCUGGUUCUUUACUGUAGUCGUAAGCUUCCAACACCCCGUUGUACAGUAAGUUAAAAAAAAAAAAAAAAAGAGAGAAAAAUUGUAACUCGUUUUAAUGCUUUAUUUAAUAAAACUACAAUUUACCCUGCAUUUUUGAGGUAUUAUUUAUGGUGUCUUAUAAGUCCAGCAUCAUAGGAGAAAAUUUUGAAAAAACUCUUUACAGAUUAAAUAACAUAUUUACAGAACUUGGUAAAUAUGUCCAACAUUUUUCUCAGUGCACAAAUUUAGACAUUCACUCAAUAAUAUCCACUCAAUAAACUAUGUUUAUUAGUGUUAAACACACAGUGGUAGAUGCUUCAUUCCUCAUUUUCCUUGUGUAUACCUGUGCUUUUUAAAAUUGACUUUGAUCUCCAUUGAGUAGAAUUAUUUCGAUUUGUUGGUCAUUGCCCAGAUAGUUCAUGAUCUACUUAUGGGUUGCCUUGUAAUGGAAAUUAUAUACACUUUUUUUUGCCAUUUUAUGUAAAUUUAUCCUUGUCAGACAUCUAUUUCUGUUUAUAUAAACCAUUGCAUUUCUGGAAAACAUUGACAGGCAUCGAAAAUGAAACUUAACCUGUAUUAUAGAUUAAUUGACAAACGGCAGUCUUGAAAUGAGCUUCCUAAACAGUUUUUCAUUUGUGCUCCUUGUUCUUUAAACCCUCUACUGCAUGAGUUAUUAUUACAUUUACAUAAAAAAAUGUUUUAUGGAUUUAAAAAAUCUAUAAAUUUUAAAACAUUUUAAACAUUUUGGGGGAGGGAGGGGGUUGUUGGUAAAUGGUUGCUGUAUGGCAACAGUGUGCAAUGUUGGAAAGUAUCAUAUAGUCAAGAAAUAACACAGAAUAUAUGAGAUUACAAUUCCAAUUACUGCAUUUUCCAGACUAUAAAUUGCAGAGUUUUUUUUUGCCACCUAGUAAGCAUCUAAAAGUCAUAUCUUCUAGAAAGGAAUUGAAGUUGUAAAAAGUAUGUGAAUGGAUGUACUCACUGAAAAUACAAUAUACACAACAAUUAGAUCCAAACAUGUUUUGAGUGAUGUAUCUUUUUAAUUCAUUAGGAAUUGAUUUAAGACAUUAGGAAAAAUACAGGCUAGAUACAAAAACAUGCUCAGAAAAUAUAAACAAAAAUGUAUUUGGUCUAAUUGUUCAUAAGAUGCAGAUGCUACAAAUGUAUCCUCUUACAAUCAUAUGUCUUUUUAUUCUGAAAUAUAUAUAUAUACUAGAUUUUGAUUUAUUUGAUGUAUGUAGCCUAUAUUUAUGAUAUUGCGCAUAAUACAUUAAAGCUUCAGACAAAACAAAACUUUAAAUAAACGUGUUUAAGUUGUGGAAACUAAGUGUUUCUAAAGCUGUAGGAGGUCAAACCAAUUGAUUUUCAGCAUUUCCUGAUGUCUAAAAUUCGAAAUUAAUUUCAUGCCUUAUUCUACGUAGGAUUGUUAGUAAUAUAAUCAUCUACAGGAAUAAUGUAAAUAAUAUUACAAGUCUUAAAAUAACUGAUUGUAAUUAUAAGAAAUUUGUUUUGUAUCACAUGUAGUUCACAAUUAAUUUUCCUGUAGUGUCAGGCUGCGUAACAGCUUCAAUAAAGUGUACAACAGCUGUUUUCUCUGUUAAAGACUGUUGUAUUUUUCUUUCUUCUCUUUGUGUAGCAUGACAGACAGAAGAGUGGCCACGUGGCCAUUGUGUGUAUGUGUGUGUGAAAGAGAGAGAGAGAGAGAGAGAGAGAGAGAGAGAGAGAGAGAGAGAGAGAGAGAGAGAAUGAAUGGUAGGGUAACCCUAGCCUGCCAAUUUCUCUUUUCAGGAAACACCACACUGACAGUGUGCCUCCUUUCUUUAUUUUUUCGUUCUUUCUUUCUUUCUUUCUUUCUUUCCUUCCUUCAAUUGCCCUCCUAAUCUUUGCUGUGCUCACACUCAAAUCAAUCAAAUACACCAUGAGCCCUUUAGUCCAUCCCAACUAAAUCACCCUGCUUGUAUUGACUAUGUGUGAUUUUCCACUAUAGAAGAGAAUGUAGAUUGUUUUUUUAAGAAAGUCAAACACUGCUAGCCUCAACAGGAAAUUUAUCAAUGGCCAUAUGCUUGAAGAAAUUCAUAUGUGCUGCUAUGUUUAUUAAUUUAACUCUCAUUUGCCUUAAUAUUAAGUAUUUAACUCUUUUUAACUCAUGGUCUGUUUUUAUUAACCUAGUGACAUUUCUUCUAUUCACAAAGUGAUUUUUGAUGUUUUUGUAUGGCUCAAUGUAAUUGCUCUAAUCCAGUUUUAUAGACUACAUAUAAAUGGCUUUCAACAUUUCUUGGGAGUAAUUAAAAUGACAGCCAUUUUAAAAGCAUUGUCACACUUUCAUACCUACCUAAUAUGUUAGAUGCUUUAACAGACAUAUAAAUGUCAAUAUAUAAUUUUCCUCAAUUGCAAAAUGCAUAAUAAAUUGUGGAAGUGAGUGAUCCCGAUCAUCAUAUUUAGCACCCCAUUGGUUGCAAUAAUUGUUAAUCAUUACAUAUAAGUUAAUGGUGUGUGUGGUGUUGAUGUUUAAUUGAAUACUAUGUACGUGACUUUUACAUGAUUGCUUCUUACCAAUCCUUAGGUGCUUUCAGCCUCCUAUAAAUCUGAAUGGAUGAUAUAAUUUAAUAUGCAGCUUCAGACAGAAAAGUCUGUUUUUGUCCCCCUGCUGCUGCGACUGAUGAUGAUGGUGAUGAUGGUGAUGAUGAUGGUGGGCAUGAAGGGUGGAGGCACUGCAGAAUGACUUGCAUUUUGUGGAGCCCACAGGGAAAGACAUAAUCUUAGUAGGGCUAAUUAAGAAAUGUAGAGUUUUAAUAGACUUCCUAAUGCACCACCGUUGCUUGCUCUUUGUCUGCUAGCGUGAGGAAGACAGACAGCGUAAUGCAUAAAAACAGCAUUUUAGCUCUGGAUCGAUAUGCCGGAUGAGCAGUAGCUCUAAAUGGUAACAGCUUAUUUGGGCUCCUGAAUAUUGUUGUAUAUGUUUCUCUAUAUUUAAGAUAUUUCAUAAAGAUUGGAUUUCAUUGUGUUGGAAGUGUCAAGUCAGUCAGUCUUGCUGAACUGAGUUAAUUCAUUUUCAUAGAAAAUUUCCAAAUUUUAAUAUAUAUUCUUAACGGAUAUUAAUUGUGCCUUUUAGUUGAAUCAUUUGCAUUUUGAGUGAUCCGGUGUGUUUCUCUCAUCCUCCUGCAUUCAACAACUUUCUGUCCUGCUCAUCCUUUAUUUCUGUGUCAUCUUUCUGUCCUCACCUCUCUUGUCCUUUCUUCCUUCCCCCUCCUGUCUUGUGCUUCAGGAUGUACAGAGCCAAGUGAGCUGAGCUUAAAAGAAAGGGGACCUUGCUUUUUCUCUUUCUCUUUCUCUUUCUUUUUCUCUUUCUCUCCUUCUCUCCAUCACUGCUGCAGUGCCACGCCUGCCAAACACACACAAAUACUCAGGUUCAGAGUACAUUAGACCGCGCUAUGCUCAGAGAAACGGCACAUAUAUAACAUGAAGCACUUUCCGCUACUCCUCCUUCAUGACCAUGUGUUUAUAAUACAGAACAAAACAGGGAUGUUGUCAAAUUUGAUAAUAUUUCAUGCUAAUGAAUAUUUCUACUGACAAUCAUAACAUAAACCAGGAAUGAAAAAACAGCCACAUUGUUCCUGCAGGCCAUGUAUGCUGCCACAGUUAUAGGAGGAAUCGUACUUGGGAGGAUGAUGGAUGUGCCUUUUAGUCGAUAAAGCUUCCUUUUUGAUUCAGCCUUGUAAUUAUGGAGAAACUUCUGGAAUUGAGGAGACAAAGAGAGACAGAAAGCAAGAGAUAGACAGAAAGAGAGAUGGAGAGAGAGAGAGAGAGAGAGAGAGAGAGAGAGAGAGAGAGAGAGAUGAUUUUGUUUUGUGAUGCAAAGACAGUGUGUGCUACAAUCACUCUGUAAAGCAGAAAUUCAGCAGGGACCAUAACUGUCGGCCAUGUGUUCCCUGACAGCCUAGAGUCCACAGGGCCUGUGUGUGUGUGUGUGUGUGUGUGUGUGUGUGUGUGUGUGUGUGUGUGUGUGUGUGUGUGUGUGUGUGUGUGUGUGUGUGAAUGUGUGUGUAUGUGUGCAUGUGUGCAUAUGUAUGCCUGUGUAUGCGUGUGUAUGUGUGUGUGCGUGUGUGUGUGUGCGAACGUGUGCGUGAGUGUGUGUGUGUGUGUGUGUGUACCAUAAGAGCUUGCUCACAGAGGAGCUGGUGCAGUCUGAUUCAGACCAGUAGCUCGUCACAAGGCUUCUCUGGUCCUUAAUGAGCAAACUGCCUUCUGCUGUAAUAUAGAAAAACCCUUACAGACAUGAGAAAUAAUUCCUCCUGUUACUGUUUUUCACACUCAUUCUAAUGUGUUCUCUGUGCAGAGUGAAUAUUUUCAUUUAUUCACACCUUUACUGCUUAACUUCCUCAAGUCAAAUAAUUACUGAAAAACAAUUUCUUAUUAAAAUUAGCUGUAAGUGACUGUAUUAAAUGUUAUACUAAUAUAAUUUUACUAUGCAUGUUUUUUUUUUUGUUUUUUUUUGUCUUUUUAGUUCUCUACUACACCAGAGCUCACAACAUCCUAAAGGUGAGUGGGUGCUGUUAUCUGGGGAUACAGGCAGGAUAAGUGCAGUGGACAGAGCUGUAUGGUUGGGCGGGUCAGCUGGUGUUGUGAAUCAGGCCGCCGUAAUGAGUGGGCACGGCUUCUUCAUAACACCAGGGUCACACCCUACCACACUCAGCACCUGCCAAUGAGCACACACCUAUCCACACAUAUCCACACGUACGCACACACACACACACACACAGGCAAAAACACACUGACCCAAGCAGUACCAACUGAUAUCACAGGAAUAAUGGAAGGAAUCAGACUGUGUGAGGCUGCAUUAUAUGGACCAUAUAGACUUUUUUUUUAAUAUAUAUCAUGAACUAUAUAAUGGUUACAAAUAGUUCCAUGAAAAAUGAAAGGUGUUGCUGUGUAUUUUUGGAAGAUUUAAAUGCUUAUUCAAAACUAAAAGAAAAAUGAAACUCAUACAUUGUUAGCACAUACAUUUCUAUAUGUUUGUUGUAUAGAUGUUUUACAAUUUUGAAAUAAAAUUUUUUUAAAACCUUUUUCUUUUCAAAGCCCGAAAUUAUUUGCAUAAAACACCAAGCCAUGUUUAAUGAGUCCUGUUCUGUUGUCCUUACAUCUAUCUGCUUCUGCUGAUGUCUCAGUAUGCUGAAUUUAUUCAUUCACUUGUAGUACAGCCAAUGUUCUAUUGUAAAUAUGUGUACAUAACUUUUUAUAGACAGACUGAGUGAAGGUUUUCUUUGUUGGGUUUAUGGAGAAAUUGCUAUAAUUCCACUAACACUACAGUGCUACUGUUAAGCGGUUAUCAUUUUAAAGUUUACAAAAUUAAUAACAAACAUUAGUCGCUGCCAAACUUUUUUUUUUCUGACAUCUCAGCUUCUCGGUAUAAUUAAUGACCAAAACACAUUACAACAACCAAAUCACCACAAACACAUCUCAAAAUAAACGCUUUCCUCAAAACACGGCCAUAAUAUUUCUUCUAAUAAGUGCACUCAAUCAGAGCACAAUGUUUAAAAACCACUAACAAGUGUCAUUUCAGUAAGUGAUCUAAAUCAUAUAUAUUGAUAAAAAAAAUAGUUUAUUUUAAAUUACAAACAGCAUGAUACAUCUGGAUUGUAUAUGCCAUAUAAACAAGAAAAAAUCAUCACAAUUUAAGUGCAAGAAAUAAGCAAAAAUGUGUGUGUGCAUGUGCGUGUGUGUGUGUGUGUGUACAUAGAUAUAGACAUUGAUAUAUAUUAUGUAUCAUCACAAACCUAUUGUUAGACUGAUAUGCAUACUGACGCCUAGAGAAGGUUUGAUCGUCGCUUGCUUAAAAUACCACUUACAAACAGCUCAGUCUGUGUCACUAAUAACAGCAGCAGACUAUGGACCAAAGCUCUUUUUCAUAUUUAAUCAUAGAAGACGCUCUUUUAAUACUUCAGCACUUGACAGUACAUUUUUCAGAAGGCUAUUUGCACACAACGUAAGGGAAAAUAUGCCAAAUUUUCUGAGUUGCACUCUUGAAAUCCUGUGUGAAUUUUCUUAGAAUCAACACAAAAGGUACUAACUAGCAGCAAGCAUCUGUGAGGAGGAACCCAAUGUGCUCAGUGUUAUUUCAUGCAGUCAUUCUUCAGUGAUUGCUUUUUGGCAAUAAAUAAAUAAAUAAAUAAAUAAAAUAACUAGGAAAACUGGGCAUAAGAAUACAUUCUGGAUGGGAUGCCAGUCCAUCACAGGACACACACACACACACACACAAAUACUCACACAUUAGGGGGGGAUGGCAUACUCCCUCUCCCCCAAUCACAGUGACUCUAACCAAUCAUGGGCAUCUGUGAGCUCAUGCAUGUGAAAGGGGGCGGAUAGAGUUUUCCUUAGAGUGUGUUUUGUGCCCAUGACGCAGCAUAAGUAGCAGUUUGAAAAGAUGCAGUUGAAAAGAUGCAAAAGAUACACUCACUCACACACACAAACACAUUAGGGGGGGAUGGCACACUCCCUCUUCUCCUAUCAAUCACAGUGACUUUAACCAAUCAUGGGCGUCUGUGAGCUCAUGCAUGUGAAAGGGGGUGGAUAGUGUUUUCCUUUGAGUAUGUUUUGUCCCCAUGACAGCAGUUUGAAAAGAUGCAGUUGGCUGACUUCAUGUGACUCGGAGGAAGCAUGUGACAGCCUUUACCCUCACGGGUUGGUAGCUGGCAUAUGAUAAGGGAGACCUAACUGAUGAGUGGGAAUUGGCCGAGACCAGAUUAGAGAGAAAAACAGGGGAAAAACCCAAAAGAAAAAGAAACAAAAACACACACACAUGCACACACUUAUCACACCUAAGGGCAAUUAAGAGCCACAUAUUGGCAUAUUUUGAGAGGUGGGAUAACACUGGACACUGACAGAACAUGUGAAACCCUGCACAGACAGUAAGCUGAGUUUAUGAUUAAACCCCAGACUCUGGACCUUCCACUCCACCAUGCCACCCUCCUGCAUAAGUGAUAUAUAAAUAAAAUGUGUAUUUUAUAUAUUAUCCGAUGUUGCCCCCAAACAGAUGUGAC